GGUGACGAGCGGCGGACGGGUGAGUAAUGUCUGGGAAACUGCCUGAUGGAGGGGGAUAACUACUGGAAACGGUAGCUAAUACCGCAUAACGUCGCAAGACCAAAGUGGGGGACCUUCGGGCCUCAUGCCAUCAGAUGUGCCCAGAUGGGAUUAGCUGGUAGGUGGGGUAACGGCUCACCUAGGCGACGAUCCCUAGCUGGUCUGAGAGGAUGACCAGCCACACUGGAACUGAGACACGGUCCAGACUCCUACGGGAGGCAGCAGUGGGGAAUAUUGCACAAUGGGCGCAAGCCUGAUGCAGCCAUGCCGCGUGUGUGAAGAAGGCCUUCGGGUUGUAAAGCACUUUCAGCGGGGAGGAAGGCGGUGAGGUUAAUAACCUCACCGAUUGACGUUACCCGCAGAAGAAGCACCGGCUAACUCCGUGCCAGCAGCCGCGGUAAUACGGAGGGUGCAAGCGUUAAUCGGAAUUACUGGGCGUAAAGCGCACGCAGGCGGUCUGUCAAGUCGGAUGUGAAAUCCCCGGGCUCAACCUGGGAACUGCAUUCGAAACUGGCAGGCUAGAGUCUUGUAGAGGGGGGUAGAAUUCCAGGUGUAGCGGUGAAAUGCGUAGAGAUCUGGAGGAAUACCGGUGGCGAAGGCGGCCCCCUGGACAAAGACUGACG
rnacentral:rRNA from 2 species